rnacentral:misc_RNA from 1 species
GAAUGCCCCAUUUUUCGGAACGGGUUCUAUUCCCAAACCGUGUAUACAUACCUUUGUUGCUUUGGCAGGCCGCCUUCGGGCGUCGGCUCACGCUGACCGCGCCUGCCAGAGGACCCAAACUCUUUUGUUUAGUGAUGUCUGAGUACUAUAUAAUAGUUAAAACUUUCAACAACGGAUCUCUUGGUUCA